UACGUAGGGUGCGAGCGUUGUCCGGAAUUAUUGGGCGUAAAGAGCUCGUAGGCGGUCUGUCGCGUCGAUCGUGAAAACUUGGGGCUUAACCCUGAGCUUGCGGUCGAUACGGGCAUGACUGGAGUUCGGCAGGGGAGACUGGAAUUCCUGGUGUAGCGGUGAAAUGCGCAGAUAUCAGGAGGAACACCGGUGGCGAAGGCGGGUCUCUGGGCCGAUACUGACGCUGAGGCGCGAAAGCCAGGGGAGCGAACGGG
rnacentral:rRNA from 1 species